UACAGAGGGUGCGAGCGUUAAUCGGAAUUACUGGGCGUAAAGCGUGCGUAGACGGUUUUGUAAGUCGGAUGUGAAAUCCCCGGGCUCAACCUGGGAAUUGCAUUCGAGACUGCAAGGCUUGGGUGCGGAAGAGGGAAGCGGAAUUUCCGGUGUAGCGGUGAAAUGCGUAGAUAUCAGGAGGAACACCUGCGGUGUAGACGGCUUUCUGGACCAUUGCUGACGCUGAGACACGAAAGCGUGGGUAGCAAACAGG
rnacentral:rRNA from 1 species